rnacentral:rRNA from 1 species
UACGUAGGGUGCAAGCGUUUAAUCGGAAUACUGGGCGUAAAGCGUGCGCAGGCGGUUAUGUAAGACAGGUGUGAAAUCCCCGGGCUUAACCUGGGAACUGCAUUUGUGACUGCAUAGCUAGAGUACGGUAGAGGGGGAUGGAAUUCCGCGUGUAGCAGUGAAAUGCGUAGAUAGUGCGGAGGAACACCGAUGGCGAAGGCAAUCCCCUGGACCUGUACUGACGCUCAUGCGACGAAAGCGUGGGGAGCAAACGAGG